rnacentral:rRNA from 1 species
AGCAGUCGCCACGGUAAUACGUAGGUGGCAAGCGUUGUCCGGAAUUAUUGGGCGUAAAGGGAGCGCAGGCGGGCAUAUAAGUCUUUCUUAAAAGUUCGGGGCUCAACCCCGUGAUGGGAAAGAAACUAUAUGUCUUGAGUACAGGAGAGGAAAGCGGAAUUCCCAGUGUAGCGGUGAAAUGCGUAGAUGUUGGGAGGAACACCAGUGGCGAAGGCGGCUUUCUGGACUGCAACUGACGCUGUGGCUCGAAAGCCAGGGGAGCGAACGGGAUUAGAUACCCCUGUAGUCCCUGUCUCUUAUACA